rnacentral:lncRNA from 1 species
GUUGGAUUAAGAGUAAUAAAUAUUCAACAUUAUCAUUCAUAUAUAUUAUAUAUAAUAUGAAUGAUUUGUGUACAAAAGUAUGUAUAAUAAAUAUACAUAUAUAAAUGAUUAUUUAUUUGAUAUAUAUAUAUAUAUAUAUAUAUAUAUAUUCUCUCCUAAAUUGUUAGCAAUAACUUCUCCAUUUUUUUUAUCCACUUUAAGUAAGAGGUAAGAAACCUAUAUUUCCACAAUAUUUUUAAUAUUUCUACACAUUAUAUUUUUAAAAAUAUCAAUUUCCAAGAAUAAUACACUUGUAUUUCUUUUUUCCAAACCCACUUGCUCAUAUAUCCCUUUUUUUUUUUAAUUUUUUUUUUUAAAAUUACAUAUAUUCAAAGGGGACUCAAAUCGGUGUAACAUCACCUUGACAGUUUCAAUAGUAGUAAUAUAAUAAUUUUUUUUUUGGUAGGUUUCUUUUCAAGAAUAACAUUACAUUACAUAGUUAAAACACACACACAAAAAAAAAUCCAUUAUAACCAUAGUUUUAAAGGCAACAAAUUAUGCAAACGGACUCCGUUAGUGAGAGGAAGAAGAUUAAAUAUUCCCCGAUCUCUUUCUUAGGAAAUUGGCCUUCAAAAAGCAAGUUAGUAACCUUCUAUGGCCACAAGUAGACAAGCUUUUACACCUGCAGAAAAAUUUUGAUAUUAACCUUCAGAUCUGUAUAGUAUAAACUGGAUCCCAGAAAUUAUUAUUAGAAAAAAACUAACAAAGAGAUAUGAUGGAGAGCCUUGAUUUAUUACAGAUCUGUAGAAUAAUUAUCACGUUAAAGAAAAACAAAUACAAGUAACAGGAAAAAGUAGUAGCUGUUAUGUAGAUGUAGAUGUAGAUGUAGAUCUAGAUCCAAACAGGAAAAGAAAGGGAAGGGGAGGAGCCAGAGGAAAUCAAUGGGAUGGGUGGAAUAGGAAAGAAUUUCUUUCACAGUAUCUAGAAAAACUUUUCUUUCCAAAUCACCCAUCCAAACAACUUCAUCUAGAUCUAUCUCCCUUUCCCUCUCUCUCUCUCUCUCUCUGUCGAACACGUUAUGGGGGUGUUGGGUUACAAGGAUAUGAUAGGAAAAGGAGUAACCUCAUGAAACCAUUGGAAUGGGAGGAAUUGGCAAGAAAAAUAGCGAAUUGAAGUUGUUUAUUUUUCUUGCUAAGCCCCCCACUACCUCUGCCUCCAUAAGACCCAUCUCCCUUUCCCCCUAUGCUCUUUUUCUUAUCUUAAAUGAAUAGACUAGCUUUGGUCUGAGGUGAGGCUAAUAAUUUAUAGAAAAGUAAAAUGAUCUUUUAUACAUGUU